GCUUUGAUGUUAUAUGCAUUACUUGUAUUUCAAUUAUGUUUUUGGUUUUGUUUGGACGCAUGUAUUAAUAUUGUGAGAUUAAAAGCUUUACUUAAAGGAUUGUGUGACAAUAAACCAUUUGUUACUCUUUUUUCUUUUUUUUUAUUGUCAUAAUUUUAAAUUUGAGUAAAAAAAUUAUUAAAGCUGGAACGUGCUCUGUUUGUUAGAGAAUCUCGAAUUUUUAAAUAUUAACCCGUAGUGUAGUAGUUUCUGUUAAAAUGUUUUGCAAUUGAGCAUGUACUUAUGACAUGUCAUGCCAAGCUCAUAUAAUGCGUACAAAUUUCUUU
rnacentral:lncRNA from 1 species